rnacentral:rRNA from 1 species
AUUGAACGCUGGCGGCAGGCCUUACACAUGCAAGUCGAACGAGAGGCGGACGGGUGAGUAAUGUCUGGGAAACUGCCCGAUGGAGGGGGACAACUACGGGAAACGGUAGCUACUACCGCACACCAUCGGAUGUGCCCAGAUGGGAUUAGCUAGUAGGUGGGGUAACGGCUCACCUAGGCGACGAUCCCUAGCUGGUCUGAGAGGAUGACCAGCCACACUGGAACUGAGACACGGUCCAGACUCCUACGGGAGGCAGCAGUGGGGAAUAUUGGACAAUGGGCGCAAGCCUGAUGCAGCCAUGCCGCGUGUGUGAAGAAGGCCUUCGGGUUGUAAAGUACUUUCGGCAGGGAGGCGUUACUCGCAGAAGAAGCACCGGCUAACUCCGUGCCAGCAGCCGCGGUAAUAC